rnacentral:rRNA from 2 species
CAACUUUUAACAAUGGAUCUCUAGGCUCUUGCAUCGAUGAAGAACGCAGCUAAUUGCGAAAAGUAAUGUGAAUUGCAGAAUUCCGUGAAUCAUCGAAUCUUUGAACGCACAUUGCACUCUCUGGUAUUCCGGAGAGUAUGCCUAUUUGAGUAUCAAUAUU